AUUGAACGCUGGCGGCAGGCCUAACACAUGCAAGUCGAGCGGAGCGGCGGACGGGUGAGUAAUGCCUAGGAAUCUGCCUGGUAGUGGGGGAUAACGUCCGGAAACGGUCGCUAAUACCGCCUCCUCUCACAUUAGCCUAGGUCGGAUUAGCUAGUGGGUGGGGUAAAGGCCUACCAAGGCGACGAUCCGUAACUGGUCUGAGAGGCUGAUCAGUCAAACUGGAACUGAGACACGGUACAGACUCCUACGGGAGGCAGAAGUGGGGAAUAUUGGACAAUGGGCGAAAGCCGGAUGCAGACAGGCCGCGUGUGUGAAGAAGGUCUUCGGAUUGUAAAGCACUUUAAGUGGGGAGGCGGUACCAACAGAAUAAGCACCGGCUAACUACGUGCCAGCAGCCGCGGUAAUUC
rnacentral:rRNA from 1 species